CCGACACAAUCUGACCCGCGGGCCCCUCCGUAGCUGGAGCUCCUCGGCUAGUAGGGUCCCCAACGGAUUAGCGGCGGCGGCAGCGACUGGCGGAAGUGACGCGCUGACUGACAGCAAUGGUCAGUGGUUUGCGCAAGAGCUGAGCUAGCCUAGCAGCAAACUCAUCAGUAUUAAUAGAGAUGGGAUGGAGAGGAGGGAUUAGCAUGACUUUCUUAAUCCCAUACUGGCUCAGUCACGAAGUAGCUGAGGAGAGAACAGCAAAACGGAAGUGUCCACCUAACAGCAUCCAGAGACGCGAUGGUGGACCCAGACUUUCUUUUAACAGAUCAUCUGAAUGGCAGCACUUCCCCUACCACCAAAAACCUUCUGUCUGGAUAUAUAGCCAAGUCCUGGCUUGGGACAGGGGCCUCCUGACAUGCUGGUGCAGUAGUGCUAGCCACCACGUCAGGCUUCAUCCCACCAGCCAAGCACUGUCUGGAAGGAAUCCUGGCCUCAUCUCUCCACUGCAGUUGUGGUUCAGUUGCAAGAGGAAGGAAGGUUUGAGUACCGCACCCUCAAUUCUGAGAGGCACUGCUCUGUGGCAGUAUGGGGGACCUGGGGAGGAGAUUUAGGGGUAGGGAGGAAUGCCCAGUGGGUCUGUGACUACAAAACUGCAUGGUUGGGGAGUGGCAGUGCCUGGCCUCCUAUAACAGUGGCUGCCCCUGCCGAAUGAGAGGAUUCAUUCCCCUCCAAACCUACACAGUGAUCCCCUGUUCAAAGCAACCGGCACACUGGUCCACAAGCCUGUAUAAAAAAAACAACAUGAGCUCUAUGGGAAUGGAAAGGACUCAACUUCAUCAUAUCAGAAGAAAAGGCACAUAUAUCCCCUCUGUACAAAUCUGCUGUUUGCAAUCUGAUCCAAACAGUACCUUAUUGACACUUGGUUUUGUUCUUGAAUCUGGCACCUUUGAACAGAAAAGCAAAGUAAGCACAUCCUGAAUGUAAAACUGAAAAGAUGACAGGCUUCUCAUUCAGGGAGGGGUUGCUCCCGUUCGGUUUUGUUUUUUCAGUUCACUGUUAGGCGCCGGUUUAAUUUUUUUAAACAAAUGUUGUUUAUUUUUUGGUCUCUGGGGGAAGUAGGAGUUUUAAUUUAAGUACUGUAUUCUGAAACCGACGAACUCUUGCUUUUGCAGAGUCCUAGGACUAUGACUCAAAGUCCUGUAUGAGCCUUCUUAGGUGCCAAAAGUGUAUGUUUCCAUGUCUAAGAGAAACUAUUGGUCUUUGAAACUUACCAACACAAUAGGUUUACAACUCUGAAAUCCUUCCAAGUAUUAUUAAUCAUUCGCUUUAAACUAGCAUCUGCAGGCCUCAGCCAGGUUGGAGCGUACCACACUAUGAGCCCUACCACACUCUGUGCCCUAAAGAGCUUACUGUAUGUAGCAGUUGAGUGAAAUUCCAGCUACAGGCUGUAGUCGGAGUAUACUGAAGUCUGACACAAAACCAAGCCCCAACCCCAACCUCCCCAGCAUUUCCGCCAACAUGGUGCCUAUUUGCACAACUCUCCCACUGCCCGUGCAGAAGGGAAGGGAUGCCAACCAUGUGGCAGUUUAAUCCCCAUCAAAAUCUCUUAGGCACUGCAGGGUUUGAGGCAGAGCUGAAGAGAAGCACUCCAUGGUACCAUCCCUUGUACUGCUGCAUGGAAUUCAGGGAGGGAGUCAACAUGGCUUAAUAACUCCUUCUGGGAUCGCAUUCCUUCCCUGGUUGAGGAGGGAGCAGUGCCUAGGGGAGCUUCCCAUGUAGACAACUCUGCAGAUGUGGUGUUGCCUUUGCACAUAGAUCCCCUGGAGGAAGAGCUGGGAGGCCUUGUUCUUUUCCCACUCAAGCACUCCCAACUUUCCUCCCCUCCAUGGGAACCAUUGGGCAGUAACUCCAUUAGUUAAAUUUUGCUGCCUCAAUGGGAGGUCAGUCUGACCUAACAUAUUGUGGGAGGAAUUGUUCUCUAAUUCUGCAUUGUUGCUAUACCACUCGCUGCAUCACUGAGAACAGGCAUACCCAUUGGCCCAUGGAUGGGUUACUGAGGUGGAUACUGGGCCAAGUUCUGGUCUCAUUUACAUCAGUGCUGUGACUUCUCUGGAGUUACUUGAAACAUAUACCCAUUCAACACAGCAUACAAUCAGCCCAAGAUUUGGAAAGCCUGGAUAAAGUUACUGAGCAGGUGUGUGUGUGUGGGGCGGGGGGAUUUGGCCUGUUAUAUUUAACUACAAGGGUACUAUUUAGUUUCAA